UACGAAGGGGGCUAGCGUUGCUCGGAAUCACUGGGCGUAAAGGGUGCGUAGGUGGCGCCGUAAGUCAGGUGUGAAAUUUCGAGGCUUAACCUCGAAACUGCAUUUGAUACUGCGGUGCUUGAGGACUGGAGAGGAGACUGGAAUUCAUGGUGUAGCAGUGAAAUGCGUAGAGAUCAUGAGGAAGACCAGUGGCGAAGGCGGGUCUCUGGACAGUUCCUGACACUGAGGCACGAAGGCCAGGGGAGCAAACGGG
rnacentral:rRNA from 1 species